GUGGGGAAUAUUGCGCAAUGGGGGAAACCCUGACGCAGCGACGCCGCGUGAGCGAAGAAGGCCUUAGGGUUGUAAAGCUCUGUUUUAAGGGACGAAUGUCGUGGGGAGUAAUAUGCUCUGCGAAUGACGGUACCUUAAGAGGAAGCCCCGGCUAACUACGUGCCAGCAGCCGCGGUAAGACGUAGGGGGCGAGCGUUGUCCGGAAUUACUGGGCGUAAAGAGCACGUAGGCGGGAACUUAAGUCAGGUGUGAAAGACCGGGGCUCAACUCCGGGGUUGCACUUGAAACUGGGUUUCUUGAGGGCAGGAGAGGAAAGCAGAAUUCCUGGUGUAGCGGUGAAAUGCGUAGAGAUGCGGAGGAACACCGAUGGCGAAGGCAGCCUCCUGGGAUGACACUGACGCUCAUGCACGAAAGCGUGGGGAGCAAACAGGAUUAGAAACCCCAGUAGUCC
rnacentral:rRNA from 1 species